rfam:Triticum aestivum genome assembly, contig: Triticum_aestivum_CS42_TGACv1_scaffold_432955_5DL
AAGGUACUCCCUCCGUUCCAAAAUACUUGACUUUUAUUCAUCCAAAAAUGGAUGUACCUAUAUACUAAAACAUGUCUAGAUACAUCUAUAUUUUGACAAAUGGAAGUCAUGUACUGUGGAAUGGAGGGAGUAUAAG